AGAAGGAGUUGUUGGUCUUGUUUUGGAUUUACUGACGUUUGCAAAGUCAAACAUUUUGUUAGCCCACACCCCUUUGAUACCUCAGUUAAUAGCGCACCUGCUGAGCUGAGCUGACUGACACGCACAGAUACUCAUGAAGAGGUAAGUGCUCACACGGUCCUUUCACACCUUUCAUGGUCGAAAGAACACAAAUAAAAAUAUUAUAACUAGAAUAAUAUUUAUUAUAACUAGAAUAGUUCUAAUGAGAAUAGUUAGAUCAUUAUUUUAAUUAAUAUAUCAUAUUUUAAAUAAUACAUCAUAUAUAUAGACAGAGGGAGAGAGAUUUUUAAAAAGUACACUUUUCAUGAGAUACACUUAUUCUCUUUUAUAGGAUUGUUCACACUGAUAAACGGCCAGGUAUUUAACACUUUCUGCACAACAUUAUUUUACUUAUGCUGCUUGUUAAAUGUAUUCAGUCCUUUCAAAUGCAAUCAUUUUCCUAGUUUUGCUUCAAAAAUCAAAAUAAAGAAGGUUUUUAUUUUAAGAGUGUGCUUGGACAUCAACUAGUUUUCACAAGUCGACAGAAAUAAAACUUGCUUGAUUGUGAUUAUGUAUGUUGUAUCAUUUAACAAUGAAAUGUUUUAUGGAUUUGAUUUAUCUGUUUUCUGUUUCUUCAAAGUGUCGUGUGGACUUUCAAAAUGGCACAAUUUCCAACAAUGGUUCAUCAUGCGCUCCAUUCUCAGAGGCAACGCUCAAUAACACUCUCUUCUGCUCCGGGAUACAACUUUCAGAUUCAUCACAGGGAAAUCUCAAAAACCUCAAAGCAUUUACUGAUGCUGCCUUUGAUUUGUAUACAUUGCUGGUACAGUAAAUCCGAAUAUCGACAUAUUUCAAACCGAUUACAAUUCAUUUUUAAAAGGAAAUCACCUAUUCAGUGCCUUUUUUAAUCUUCCAAACAGAGAUCUAAGUGAAGGAUCUAAGCUCGACAGAUUAGGUCCUGAAAGACAAAGGAUGGUGUAUCAGAACUUCGUGAAACCUUUUCUGGCAAGAAAUACAUCUGACGCUGGCUGCGUGAACAGUACAAACACCACUGAGGAAUGGCUUCCGCUGAACUUUCAAACAUUCUCUGCUAGCGCAAGUCUGGGAGAUUUCUCAGCUCUGAACCCAAAGUUUGAUGGGCUGCUUGUCCUAGAUCAGCUCACCCCAGAGCAGAAAGCUGAGCUGAUGUUUCAGCUAGAGGCAUCUGCUAAGCUAAAUAUCGAUGCCAUCACUAAGAUCUUCGGGAACCUCUUGAAGCCGCUUUUUAACACGACACUUAAUGUGACUAGUGCCAGCUCAAAUGGACCUGAUAAGAAUCUCAGUGAUUUCCUGGUUUCUUUGAGACCAUUUGGAAGAUUCAUCAGAUCAUGUGUGAACAUUGCUCAGACGACAAGUGUCAGCAGCAUCAGAAACGAAACGAUACUGCUUCUGGUGAACUGGACUAUGAAUUAUGACAGCCAAAUCUCAAAUAAUUUCAGCAUCAGCAACUUCAGUGAUUGGUCCCAAUUUGUGGUUGCUCCUGUGAUGAAGAAAUUUCUGCAAAUUAACCAGAGUUUACCAAAUAAUUUCACAGCAAUAACCAACUUUUAUUGUGAGUAAAGUUCCUACCUGCAUUCUAAACCAAAUUAGAGCUCUGAGAACAAACAUUUUUUUUUUAUAUUGUAGAUAAUUUUUUUUAUCUCUUUGAAAGGCUGCACAUAAAAACUAGCUAAGCAUCCCAAAAACAUGACAAAUUAGUCGAGAAGCAAAAUUUCGCAAGAUAUAAAGACAAAAGUUUUCAGAGUUUACAAAGUUUAUUAUUAUUAUUAUUUUAUCAAUAAAAAGUAGCAUUAAGUUUAUUUUUCUGUACCAAUUUCUGGUAUUUUUUGUUUAUGUUAUGUUUUAAUAAUAAACCCCACUUAAUUGUUACCUUAAUGCUUAAAACAACAAGAAGAAAAAAACAUUCUCCUAUUUAUUUGAUUGAGAAAAAUUAACUACACUCUACUUACAAAUUUUUUUUCUAAAGUAAAUGUACUUUAUUUUGAGGAUUAUUAGAUAUUUGAAAAAACAAGACAAACAUUUACUAAUAAACAAGAGUAAAUUGCUGAUUAAGUCAGUGUUUGUACAGGAUUACCAUUGAGAUAACUGGCACUAAGAAUGAACUGCAAUAAGAAACUUGUACAUAACAGCAUAUCUGAUUUGUUUUAACUAAUGCCGUGUUCUUUAUACUUUGUUCAGUGCUGCAGAACCUCAAAUCACAGAGCCUGUCGACAACUGUAAAUUCACCAGCAGUAACAGUUUCUGUCAAGUGAGUCUGUCUUUCACAAACCACAAUCUUUCAAUCUCAGACAUAAUUUACCACACCCUGAUCAAGUUCAACAAGCCUUCUUGCAUGUCACACAUCUAAAGAAUGUAGAAAAAUAAAACUACUGCACAAUGUGGUUUUGUUCUCAUGUAGAAAAACUGGAAUUUAUGGUACAAGAUGUAAUUGUCUUGAACUGAUCUACAGCCUAGAUAACUGUUUCCUGUCUUAAUAUAAAACUAAU
rnacentral:lncRNA from 1 species